AGAUGAGACUGGUGAUGAAGAGAUAAUUUAUGCUGAACCUACUUUCCACAAACAAGAUGCACCAAAAUUGAAACAUAACGAUGAGGAGCAUGUGGAGGAGGAUCCAGUGGCAUAUGCAUCAGCAUUAGAAGAUCAUCUUUAACCUUUUCUAAUUAUGAGAUCCAGCAGUAGGAUUGUCUUUGCUAUAGGAACCUCCAGAGACAUUUAGAUAGGUUGAAUUUUGAGGCUGGAGAAAAGAAUCACCACACACCACACAAAAAAUCCUAAUAAACAGCAGUGUCAUUCUGAGGGGCUUCAAAUGUGAUAUUCAGAAACAAAUGGUCUCUUUGAAAAAAUAGGCCGCAUUGUGGUGCAAAGUCUUUUAUCAAUGAUCCAUGCUGUACAACCAAUUUAGCAUUUCCACAUUUGACUCUAAAACCCCCAAAACUAAUUCAUAUGGUGUGUGUUCAUUAAUGUCUCAUUUAUUAUAAAUAAUAAAUAUUACUAUUAUCUUA